AUGUCUUUUGUACAUCGAUCCACUAAUUUUAUGUUUCUGUUGAAUCCUGUUGAGGAUAACCUCUCAGCAAAGGCAAAUGGGUUCAUUGCCAGCAGGACCCAUUCAGGCUGGGGCUGGCAAGCACCUCGGGUCUGGCAAAGCUGCCGUGUCACAGCAUCUUCCUCCAUUCUCAGUCUUUCUCUCCCCAGAUGUCUCACCCCGCACACAACACACAUUCCUGCCUCUACAGGACACACACCUAGUAGGUGCAGGUGGGAAUGGCAGAGAACCACGGUGUCUUUCCUUCAACUCCAAGAACAAGUGAUAGCAGUGCCUUCUGAAAGGCAUUGGAUUGACCCUCUGGACAUCAAGCCUGAGCUCAUACUGCAAUACUGCCCAGCUUGCCUUCCUGAAGCACAACCUGUAGAGAUCAUUUGUUGGCAGAAGAUGGUGCUGCGGGCUUUGAGGUGGCUGCAUCUGCUUGGAGGUUGGAGGUGGCACUGGGCAACACACGCAGGGCAGGGCGCAGCUCUGCGGUGGGAGCUCGCUUCAGCUACAGAGGGUGUGAAAGGUAGGGGUAGAAACAGAUCUUGGUUUCUGUCAAGAAAGCUGCUUUCAUGCAGGGCACAAGCACUUUUGUCAGCAAAGCAGCUGUGUUAUCUCCAGGCUUAG
rnacentral:lncRNA from 1 species